UACAGAGGGUGCAAGCGUUAAUCGGAUUUACUGGGCGUAAAGGGCGCGUAGGUGGUUAUUUAAGUGAGAUGUGAAAUCCCCGGGCUCAACCUGGGAACUGCAUCUUAUACUGGGUAACUGGAGUACAUUAGAGGGUAGUGGAAUUUCCGGUGUAGCGGUGAAAUGCGUAGAUAUCGGAAGGAACACCAGUGGCGAAGGCGGCUACCUGGAAUGAUACUGACACUGAGGCGCGAGAGCGUGGGGAGCGAACAGG
rnacentral:rRNA from 1 species